UCUACAGCCACCUGUCUUUGUUAUAGUGGGAUUCUUGAAGAUCACAAUUUUCUUUUCAAAUUUCACUCGAAUCCUUAGCCCCAUGGUUCUUGAGAAGAGGAAGACAUAAUUGGCGAGAUGGGUUUUUGAGAGUUCACGCUUUUAAGAGAAGCGCACAUGGCCAGGCUCCUCGUCGAUUCGAGAUUUGGACAAGAGUAUGAAGGCGCCUUGGCCCGGUGUUCCACCGUUUGUGACCAGCUUGAGAUUGGUUCACCAAUUUCCUCAGUUUUGUCAGAAUUAAGGCAAUCGAAUUGUCGAUCGAUGUCCGUAUUCAUCUUCCGCAUCAUGACCAGGUGAUUCUUGUAAAUCGCUUUCUGGUGAAUUGCUUCUCUCCGCUAUCAUCGCUGCUCUUAUAUUUAUGAAUAGGAUUGGGCUGGGAUCAUCACCAAGCUUGUCACCACUAUCACUGUUGCUGUGAACGUGAGUUUUUGAGUGAGCUCAAGGCCGAGCUCGCCCUCCUCUGCAUCGCCAAGGUCAUCGGUGGUGCGCCAAACAAGCUAUCCAAGAGACGAAGAUCUCCAGUUCCCGCCACAGCAAAGCUCUCUCUAUAUCGUGCCUUUAGCUCCGCGAUUUCAGCUUCGAUCAAUCUUGAUUUUGGUUACAUUCAGUCGAAACUUCUCCAUCGAACAAUUGGAUUACGGCAACAUGAUUAAAGCUAAGUUCUCUCUCAUUCUCCGACUCUCAUUUUUCUAUUCACUCUAUAGCAUUGAUCCUCGGUCUUUUCCUGAACUGCCAGAAGCUUCUUCACCAAUCUUCCUUCUCUAUCACCCCCCUAACACCGAAAGCCACCGCUGAUUGUCACCAUUCGCCGCUCCAGAGUCCCAUUGAUUGUUCCUCUGUUUUACUGUUUUUUCUUGUCAGAGACUUCGAAGAGCUUGGCUCCUGCUCGUUUCUUCUUCGCCAACGUCGAUCACCAGAAAUGACACCUCCAAGACAUCAGCUACUUAGUUUGAUCAUCCUUUGAAAUCAACAUCUGCAUCUCCAAGAUAAGUACCUCUCUAUACUCUUUUCUUGGAGAAACAAAGACGAGAAGUCUUAACUAUUGGUUCCCUCAAGAUUAUCUGCCAUUGAGUUCCUGUUUGUGAUUUGAGCAUGAUUCAUUACAUAUGUGAUGAAUGCAAUAUGGAUUAUGGCUUCAAUGAGUUCCCUGGUUGAUGAA